rnacentral:rRNA from 1 species
ACUCCUACGGGAGGCAGCAGUGGGGAAUAUUGGACAAUGGGCGCAAGCCUGAUCCAGCCAUGCCGCGUGUGUGAAGAAGGCCUUCGGGUUGUAAAGCACUUUUGUACGGGAAGAAAAGCGCCGGCUUAAUACGUGGGCGUCAUGACGGUACCGUAAGAAUAAGCACCGGCUAACUUCGUGCCAGCAGCCGCGGUAAUACGAAGGGUGCAAGCGUUACUCGGAAUUACUGGGCGUAAAGCGUGCGUAGGUGGUUUGUUAAGUCUGAUGUGAAAGCCCUGGGCUCAACCUGGGAACUGCAUUGGAUACUGGCUGACUAGAGUGCGGUAGAGGGUAGCGGAAUUCCCGGUGUAGCAGUGAAAUGCGUAGAUAUCGGGAGGAACAUCCGUGGCGAAGGCGGCUACCUGGACCAGCACUGACACUGAGGCACGAAAGCGUGGGGAGCAAACAGGAUUAGAUACCCUGGUAGACUCUG